GGACACGGAGGUCACAACGGGCCGGACAGCAGGAAGCAGACAGAGAGACAGAGCAGAUCAUCGCACUGGACGAGGUCUGAAGAGACACCGGAGCAAACACCGACCGUUAGCGGCUAUAAUUGGGGAGGUAAAACUUCUCCCUCCCGCGUAAGUCCCGUUUCAGACCGGUGUUUGUGUAGUGUGUAAUAUAUAAAGUUGUGCCUUGUUAAAGGACAUUGACUGGCCCUGAGUUUCCUCGACAGGCUGCCGAAGAGCGGAGCCAGGUGAAGAGCGGGUGGUCGCCACCAGAGACCCGCGACUGCCGUUGUUGACUUCCCACUCCAUCCGUGCCACAUUAUUUUAGCUGGGUUUUAGUUGUUUGUGUUCUUUGUUUAGUUUAUUUGAAGGUAGAGCUUUUAGUUGUUUUUACUUAUUUUAAAAUAAAUUGUGUUCAACUGUG